rnacentral:rRNA from 1 species
CGGGCGUAGCAAUACGUCAGCGGCAGACGGGUGAGUAACGCGUGGGAACGUACCUUUUGGUUCGGGACAACACAGGGAAACUUGUGCUAAUACCGGAUAAGCCCUUACGGGGAAAGAUUUAUCGCCGAAAGAUCGGCCCGCGUCUGAUUAGCUAGUUGGUAGGGUAAUGGCCUACCAAGGCGACGAUCAGUAGCUGGUCUGAGAGGAUGAUCAGCCACAUUGGGACUGAGACACGGCCCAA